rnacentral:lncRNA from 1 species
AGCAUACAACCUAGAUCCUCACAUAGACAAUUCACAGGAGGGUUUGGGCUUCUAUGAGACUAUAAUGCCAAUGUUUAUUUGACAGGAGGAAGAGCUCAGGUGCUAAUGCGAGCAAUGGGGAGCAGCUACAAAUACUGAUGAAGCUUCAUUCACUCACCCACUGCUCACUUCCUGCUGUGCAGCCCAGUUCCUAACAAGCCACAGACUAGACUUGUGGCUUGAGGAUUGGGGACAUCUGUUUUAGAAUAUUGGCCUUCAUCAUCAUCUUUUAUCCUCAUGCCAACACUUUAAGGGUACUUGGAACAAUGCUCCUUCACAGAUCUGGAAGGGUCAGAGAUCCUGCUCUACUUCCGUCUUCUUCCCCCAAGAUAAACAGCUUUAC